rnacentral:ribozyme from 2 species
GCUGCUCUGAUAAUCACACACCUCUUCGUGGUGAGCAGCAGGGAACGAUCUUACAGUCGGCGAAGAUGUGAGA